rnacentral:rRNA from 1 species
UACGGAGGGUGCAAGCGUUUUUUUAUCCGGAUUUACUGGGUUUUAAAGGGUGCGUAGGUGGGUAGGAAAGUCAGUGGUGAAAUCUUCGGGCUUUAACCCGGAAACUGCCAUUUUUGAUACUAUUUUAUCUUGAAUACUUUGGAGGUAAGCGGAAUAUGUCAUGUAGCGGUGAAAUGCUUAGAUAUGACAUAGAACACCAAUUUGCGAAGGCAGCUUACUACACAGUUAUUGACACUGAGGCACGAAAGCGUGGGAUCAAACAGG